UACGAAGGGGGGCUAGCGUUGUUCGGAAUCACUGGGCGUAAAGCGCACGUAGGCGGAUCUUUAAGUCAGGGGUGAAAUCCCGAGGCUCAACCUCGGAACUGCCUUUGAUACUGGGGAUCUCGAGUCCGGGAGAGGUGAGUGGAACUGCGAGUGUAGAGGUGAAAUUCGUAGAUAUUCGCAAGAACACCAGUGGCGAAGGCGGCUCACUGGCCCGGAACUGACGCUGAGGUGCGAAAGCGUGGGGAGCAAACAGGGAU
rnacentral:rRNA from 1 species